CAAUCUGCCUUGGAGUGGGGAAUAACGGCUGGAAACAGCCGCUAAUACCGCAUGAUACAGUUGGGAGGCAUCUCUCUGACUGUCAAAGAUUUAUCGCUCUGAGAUGAGCUCGCGUCUGAUUAGCUGGUUGGCGGGGUAACGGCCCACCAAGGCGACGAUCAGUAGCCGGACUGAGAGGUUGGCCGGCCACAUUGGGACUGAGACACGGCCCAGACUCCUACGGAAGGCAGCAG
rnacentral:rRNA from 1 species